AGCUAGCAUUUGAGAAUGCAUGGAGUGCAUUUAGGCUAUAGAAACUUUCGUGUAGGAAAAAUAUCUAGUACAGCUUUGCAGUUGUGCACGAAGGUUCAAUUGUAUCUCUGCAGCCCAGAGACUUUCCAGAUUGACACUGAUAUUAAGAGGUUUU